rnacentral:lncRNA from 13 species
UGGUACCAUCACGAUUGCGGUUAGGAAAGCAUCGCACAUGGUAUAAUAAGGAAAAUGCUUCUUCGCUUGCGAGCGUCUGCCUUCCUCAAUUGCAUUCAUCAUGUGCACGCAAGGCACGAUUCCCACGGUAACAACCACAGAGGCUUGCUGCUGUUGCUGUUAAACACGAUGUGCACGCUUUCCGGGUCUGCGUAGAAAUUAAACUCCGCCUGUGAAGUUAUGUUGCCCUGUGCUUUGAAUGAAUUAACAAAAAUUUAGAUAAAUAAAAUAACCAAUACCUAUCGUUAGUUUACACAAUGGAA